rnacentral:rRNA from 1 species
GCUUGACACUGAACAUUGAGCCUUGAUGUGUAGGAUAGGUGGGAGGCUUUGAAGCGUGGACGCCAGUCUGCGUGGAGCCAACCUUGAAAUACCACCCUUUAAUGUUUGAUGUUCUAACGUUGGCCCCUUACCGGGGUUGCGGACAGUGUCUGGUGGGUAGUUUGACUGGGGCGGUCUCCUCCCAAAGCGUAACGGAGGAGCACGAAGGUUAGCUAAUCCUGGUCGGACAUCAGGAGGUUAGUGCAAUGGCAUAAGCU